UACAUGGGGUGCAAACGUUGCUCGGAAUUAUUGGGCGUAAAAGCGCACGUAGGCGGUUCGUUAAGUCGGAUGUGAAAAGCCCCUCGGCUCAACUGAGGAAGUGCAUCCAAAAACUACAAAAGCUUGAGUACUUAAGAGGAUCGCGGAAUUCCCCGGUGUAGAGGUGAAAAUUCGUAGAUAUCGGGGAGGAACACCAGUGGCGAAAGCGCGUAACUGGGUCAUAACUGACGCUGAGGAAACGAAAAGCCCAGGGGUAGCAAAAAAAGG
rnacentral:rRNA from 1 species